rnacentral:rRNA from 1 species
UACGGGGGGGGCAAGCGUUGUUCGGAAUUACUGGGCGUAAAGGGCUCGUAGGCGGCCAACUAAGUCAGACGUGAAAUCCCUCGGCUUAACUGAGGACGUGCGGAAGAAACUGCAAGGCUUGAGUCCGGGAGAGGGGGGUGGAAUUCCCAGUGUAGCGGUGAAAUGCGUAGAUAUUGGGAGGAACACCGGUGGCGAAGGCGGCCCCCUGGACCGGUACUGACGCUGAGGCGCGAAAGCGUGGGUAGCAAACGGG